ACAAAAAAAAAAAAAAAAAAAAAUUCUUGUAUUUAUCAACAAAUAUAUUGUGUAAAGGACAUGUAGGAUAUGGAAAUUGAGACUCUUGUUGUCCAUGGUGCUGAUCUCCAGCUUGUCGCUGCGAUUGUAUAAUCAAAUUUCCCAGUAAAUUUCAUCUUGCUAUUGUAGCUGACUUUGUGUUAUUAAUUUUGACUCCAAUGAUUUUGUUCGUUAAUGUGGUAUACAUACUUUUGUGCAUUGCAAGAGAGGAUACUUUUGCUAUUUUUUUCCAUCUUGGUUUUCAAUGCAAUAACUAGUUAAUGAUAGAAUGUUUUGAUGUUUGUUAAUAUCUGAAGAAUGUGAUGGUUGAAAGAUGCUGUAAGACUAAUCAAAAACUAAGUUUGAAUUACUAAUGCGAUCAAAAUUACCGAUUGAUUUGUUUUUUGUUGAGCUUCCAUGUGGUCAAAUCUCUCUCUCUCUCUCUCUCUC
rnacentral:misc_RNA from 1 species